UACGUAGGGUGCAAGCGUUGUCCGGAAUUAUUGGCCGUAAAGAGCUCGUAGGCGGUCUGUCGCGUCGGCUGUGAAAACCCGGAGCUCAACUCCGGGCCUGCAGUCGAUACGGGCAGACUGGAGUUCGGCAGGGGAGACUGGAAUUCCUGGUGUAGCGGUGAAAUGCGCAGAUAUCAGGAGGAACACCGGUGGUGUAGACGGCUCUCUGGACCAUAACUGACGCUGAUGCACGAAAGCUGGGGGAGCAAACAGG
rnacentral:rRNA from 1 species